GACGAACGCUGGCGGCGUGCCUAACACAUGCAAGUCGAACGAAGCACCCCACCUGAUUCUUCGGAUGAAAGUUUGGUGACUGAGUGGCGGACGGGUGAUUAACGCGUCGGUAACCUGCCCUGUACAGGGGGAUAACAGCUUGAAACGGCUGCUAAUACCUCAUAAGCGCACGAGGAGACAUCUCCUUGUGUGAAAUACUCCGGUGGUACAGGAUGGGCCCGCGUCUGAUUAGCUGGUUGGCAGGGUAACGGCCUACCAAGGCAACGAUCAGUAGCCGGUCGGGGAGGAGGAACGGCCACAAUGGAAGUGGGACGCGGUCCAGACUGCUACGGGAGGCAGGGGUGAGGAAUAAUGCAGAGUGGGCGAGAGCCUGAUGCAGCACCGCGGGGUGAGUGAAGAAGUAGUUCGGUAUGUAAAGCUCGAUCAGCAGGGAGGAUUAUGACGGUACCUGACGAAGAAGCGCCGGCUAACUACGUG
rnacentral:rRNA from 1 species